AUCUGCACAACUUAUCCAGAGUUCAUACAGCAUAUUAAUAAGAACAGAAGCCACAACUUAGUAAAUAGCUCAUCCAGUUUUCCUGACCGAAGCAUUUCUUGUGGAAAUAUCUGAUAUUUAGAAGAAAGCAAAAUGGUUGGCCAGGAAGACAUAAACAUAAUUAACAAGUCCGAUGAAGUUGGCAGCUCAGAAUCUUUCCUCUUCCUGCAAUAGGCAAAUAGUGUGACAAAAAUGAUCUAGACAAAUGAUGUUCAAAUCAAGCUUGCUUCUACAAAUAAGAGAAAGUAGUUGUGCUAUAUUUACUCAGGAAAGAAUUGCCAAAAGCAGGCACCGGUAAUAAUCUCCAAAUUCCAAAUGCAUAUGAAAAAAAGUAUUGACAAUCCAUUGUUCAUGGGCCUACUGCUUACCUUCACUACUCUAUCGUUCAUAAGCCUAUUGCUUAUCUUUCACUAAGUAGCCUGAAGGAUACAUUACUGUUCUGGUUGGAUAAAUAGGCUGCUCUCCCAGUAGUGAAAUGCUAAUGCUAACAAGAUUAAAGUGAAGAACUUGCAUACAUGCCGCAAAUACGUGUGCAACCAGCAAAAAUUUAGUUAGGUGAUAGAUAAAAUCCAGCAGCAAUAUUACCUAACAGAGGUACUUGGAGGACUGAGAGGGGAGGAAGGGCAUGGGAUAGCUGGACCUUACAUUGGUCAAGUAAGCGCCUCGGUUCCAAUGACAUCCUCCCUCCCAUUGGUAUACUGAGAAAAUGACUCCACUCUCCUGGUGCUCAUGUCAAUGGUGACCAGCCACAUCUUCUUUCUCACGUAACCGAACUCGCUGAUGACAAAGUGCGCUACAUGUGGCCUGUCCAUGUUGACUUGGGGGAACAUGAGAAUGUCAUCCAUUUUGGAUUGUCUGGUAGGGAUAUUGGCUACGAGACCUAUGAAAGUCUGGAUACCAGGAAAACGAGCGAAAUUGCUGACUCGCUCCUAGGAAGCUUGCGGUAGGCGCCCGGGGUUGGCAUACCAAAGCUCAUUGGAGGUGACCGUGUAGUCCUCUUCCCACACACCCCCGACCAUGUUCGGCUCCGUGAUGUUGCAUAACAUGAGGUAGUGGCACCUAAUAGUGAAGCCAACACCAGCCUUGAGUGCCCCAUAGCCAACCUUGUCGUUGUGGGCGACAUUGGUGAACAGGAGUGCACCCUCGUCACGGGUGGUCGUCACGGUGCGGUACAACCAGCAUCAGUCCUUGCUGCGAGUGUUGUUGUCAGGAAACUUGUCCAGAGGGAAUUGGCUGAAGACAACAGUAAGACAAUCCACAAAACUUCCGAAAUCAAAUGUAGGAUUUGAGUUUCUCUAGAGGAUUUGAGUUUCCAAACUAGGAUCAAACGAGAAUAUCAUCAAAUGAAACAAGUGCGAACUUUGAAACGCGGUUUCAUAGUCUUCACCGGCCGUCAGUCUGAUCUGACGGAAACCUACUGCGCGCAAAUCAAAUCAAGACAGGAAAACCAGCAAGAGUGUGCCAGCUCAUACAACAACUUGUCAGCGAUAGGAAGAAGUGCAAUUAACUGUUCAGGUAGAGUAGUUCUGAAGAAACUAUAUAUGACUGCUCUCUAUGUAAUGCCUCACGCAGGGACACACACGACACGGAGCACUGGAGUAGCGCCACGGCACGCCGAAAAAAAAGCGUCGCCUUCGCCUCGUUUGCAUGCUGCUGCUGCCCCCCUCAACCGCGUGUAAUGCUGCCACUUGUUAACUAGCAGAGGGAGUGAAAGUGGGAUGCAACAAGCUGGAGUAGUAGCUAGCAAUCCAGGCUUGCAACCACUGUAGCUAGCACCUGUUGUGACUGCAUGGUGAGGUCUUCAGGGAGAGAACACAAACAAAUAAGCGCAGACAAGUGGGCGACCAAUCUGGCGAAGCUGCUGGAGCCUGCUGCUGUGACUGCAUGGUGAGGUAGACGGAACUGCCAAAACCUGUUGCUGUGACCAUACGGACGGGCGAGAGACCAAGACGCGUCGAGUGGUGACGCGGUUCUGAGCCCAUGGUUCAAGGCAGCUGGAGGAGAGCCAGCGCUCCGCUGCAGGAGACGGCGCGUGCAGGCGGAGGAUGGUCGACAUGGGCACAACAACAGCGUUUGUGGGGGAGGGGGAUGUGAUUCGUGGCGGCAGCAACGACGAGGGGGAAGAGGAUGGCACUGGCCACUGGGGCUCUAGCAGUUGCUGUUACUCAUCAUUGUCGACGCCGACGACAAAAAGAAAAGGAAAAAAAACACUUUGGAUGGUUAGGUCGUUGCCUUGUUGCUAGAUUUGUCCUCGACGACCUGACUGAAUGGCGUCAGGAACGGUGACGGUGCCCCCCUCCUGGUAUCCCCAGCAGCUGGCGCGCUGAUGGCCACGGGCUUGGAACCGCCCAUGGGCGAUGUUGGUCAGCUGGUGGGAGGCCCUGAGCGUUGGGUGUGACCUGCCGAGCCGGCGCCGGCGCCGGGGGAGAGGGUUGGGCGGUUACCUACCGAGCUGGCGGCGGGGGUUGAAGCUACGAGGGGUGGGGCGUGCGCGCGACGGCGCGCCCAGGCGAGAGAGGAAGUGUACCUCCGCGCGGGGGUGGGGCUCCUAGAAGCUUCGCGGCACGACACGAGAAGGUUGCGAGGUCUUGUGUGGAACCGUAGAUGCGCGAUCGGACGACUGAAUGUUUUCGGGCCGACAUGGAUAGGCUGAAAGGCUGAGUUUUGGACCGGCUUUAUUAUAAAGGAAAUAAGACUUACGAAAUAAGUAGAUCAUAAUUCUAUCUUGUAGCCUAUUUUUUUUAUCUAAUUAAAGUAUGACUUGUUUUCACUAAUUUUGGCGAAAGUUGCUGUACAUUUUAUUUUGGCCAACGCAUAUUUUAUUAAAUUAGUUUAACAAAGCUUGUUAUUAGAAACUCGUAUGCCUCAUUUUUUAUCAUUCUGGCUCAUACCGAUUGAUGAAUAUUUGACUAUAACCUCAUCAAGACAAAAGUACAAUCUAGCUAAGGAUAGGAAUUUGGAUUCUAAGUAAAUGAGUUAUCUACAUUACGAAUUAAUAAGUACAAGGGAUUAUGUUCUUAAAGAACAUCAAAAUUAGUGGGAGCAAAAUCAUAACAAUUAAGUAUCAUAGCUUGUGACAUAAGUUAUUAAUAUACCUCUAAAAAGAUUAAGAUGCCCAAGAGAAAGUUAAUUGGGCUAAUCAUAACAAUUAAAGGCUAUCAUUUAGCCCAUUUUACCCCUAGUGUGAUUUCUAUUCUAUGCACAAUGUCUUAUACCCUAGGUUCCAACCAUAUUGUAUCGUGUCAAUUCUAGAAAUGUAAAAACAUCAAUGUAAAUUACAUAAAACUAUAAAAGUGAAGGAGAGAUGUAAGUGGAUAUCACAAUUUUUAGGAUCAAUUUAAUAUUUUAAAAUAGAGAUAUAUAAAAUUUGAUGUUGAUCUUUUUUUAUAUUGUCAAGCACAUUAUAAUAACUAAGUUUAUUGUAUUAUAUUGAUCUUUUCUUAUGUUAUCUACAUAAAUUGUUUUAUACAUUAUUUGCUCCCUACAACAAAAAGGUGAAACAAUAUCUGAAUUUUAUAUAUAUCAUUUAAUAAGAUAUUUGAUAAAUUUGUGGUUUAACUUUUAUGAAUCUUUAUAAACUCAAUGCUAAAAACAAGAAUAAAAUUUUACUUAGCAGAUUAUAUUAUAUCUCUUAUUUAUUCGUCAAUCGAAGAAAAAAGACCACAAAAUGAUAUCCAAAUAAAUAUCUAUCUUCAUCCUUAACCUUAAGAGAAGUGAUAGGAACACGACUGAAAGGACUAAGAUGUCCAAGAAAGAAGGGUGAAUUAGAUUAAUUUAAAAUUUCUCUCAUAAUCAUUAAAUCCUACCAAAUAGGUCACUGUUAGAGAGAAAACCAAACUAGACCUCGAUCAUAAACCCGGUCGACCUUUGGUGGACGUGGGGCAAGCAGGAUCGUGACAUUUAAUUUAAACAAGACCUAAUGUUGUACAUGUACAAUCACAAGGUUUUUGUAUAUGACAUUUCACUGUAAUUGAAUAUCCCUACUAUAGAAUGGGUGAUAACUCGUUCCUCGGUGCAUAAUCGAUCUGGUGCAAAUGUAAGACAAGUGCCAAACAAGAUUUCACUCAGAAUGGGUCAGUGGUGAGCUGAGCCAAGUCAAAGAGUUCACAUCGGCUAAGGAACGCACAAAUUGGAGCUUCCUGGACAUGCUUUGCUCUAGUAUCCAGACUUGACAGAAGACAUUUAGACAUAUCGUGAAUAAACAGAACAUCUGCCAAAGACAUAAUAAAACUUUUUGGCUUCUGUCCGAUGUGUGGCUUUCCUAUUCUGUUCUAGUGGAUGCAUAUGUCGUAUUAUAUGGUUUAUUCUGGUCCAAACACAAUUUUCUAAACUUGAUAUAAGUUGUCACUAGAGAUGAAGCCUUCCGUAUAUGGAAUAUGCAACUUGUGUGUGAAUUUUCUAGACAAAUUGUGGCGUCGGAAAAGGCUUGCUUAAAAUAACAUGAACAGAGCAGUACAGUAGCCAAUUAAUCUGGAUAGUGUCACGAUAGUAAUAUUCUUGUUUCUUGAUAAGCAUACCUUAAUCAGAAUGCGAUCAUUCAGUGGUUUCAUAUCCUUCACAUCAUCACUGUCAAGAAUACCAAUUAUGUCAUCUUUCAAAAUGAGAUGGUCGGCGUCAUUGAAUUUCAAUUCUGUGCCUGCAUAUUUUGAGUACACAACUUGUGCACCAACCUGUACAAGAUUAUAAUUCGAUGUCAAGUUACUUAAUUGGCUUAGGACAGUACAAGUGUUACAACGGAAAAAAAUGUUACUGGUGUCUGGUGACAAGGCCAUGAGGAAAAUUGUCUUCCAAAAUUAGAAGUUCAAACGUAGAAGAAGAUUGGAUACAGAAAAAAUCUCAGCAUACAAAACAUACAACUACUUUAUUUAUGGUAACCCGAAGGCCACACCGAGCUCCUCCAAGGUGCCGGCCUCCCUACAUCUAUGUAUUUCUAAUGCAGCUCUCCGUUCAUUGUUUUUGCUGCUGCUCUGCAAUGGAUAGAUUGACAGCACUUGUCCAUGAUCGAUACACACGGUAGAUUUAUAAUUAAUUGUAUAAUACUGUAAUCAUAUUUUAGACCUAUCUAUCUUUAUUGUACAGCAAUUUCUAUUUAACAAACUCAAAAGACAUUACAAUUAUUGCCUAUGAGCUAUUAUCAGCUCAGGGGCAUUCAGGUCGUUUUACAGCUAUAAUCAGGAUAGCAAAAAACUCAGCUUAUUGAGGCAGCAGAUUCUCUGGACAGCAAAAUUAUCAGACAAGCCUGCUACCCAGAGAAUCGAGUUCCUAAAAAGCGACUACAAACAGGGCCUAACUCUAUCGUUCAUAAGCCUAUUGCUUAUCUUUCACUAAGUAGCCUGCAUGAUACAUUACUGUUCUGGUUGGGUAAAUAAGAUGCUCUCCCCGUAGUGAAAUUCUAAUGCUAACAAGAUUAAAGUGAAGAACUUGCAUACAUGCAGCAAUACGUGUGCAACCAGCAAAAAAUUAGUUAGGUGAUAGAUAAAAGCCUGCAACAAUAUUACCUAACAGAGGUACAGGAAGGGCAUGGGACAGCCGGACCCUACUUUGGUCAAGUAAGCGCCCUCGGUUCCAAUGGCAUCAUCCCUCCCAUUGGUAUACUGAGAAAAUGACUCCACUCUCCUGGUGCUCAUGUCAAUGGUGACCAGCCACAUCUUUCUCACGUAUCCGAACUCGCUGAUGACAAACUAGCAACAAAAUGCUAUAUGAGCAAUAAUGUUCAGAAACAUAAAUCACAACACAAAUACCACCAUAGCAAUGAUGAUAAGAAACAUAAAUCACACUACAAAUAACACUAUAAUCAGUCACAUGACCAUCGUUCAAUGAUGCUCAAAUUACAGCUCUAACAGCAAAAUAUCAUAAUCUUUCAACAACUAAAAAAAUUGAACUAUUACAAUAGACAAAUAACACCAUAAUCAGUCACAUGACCAUCGUCCAAUGAUGCUCAAAUUGCGGCUUUAACAUCAAAAUGUCAUAUGAGCAACAUAAUCUUUCAACAACUAAAAAAUUUAACUAUUACAAUAGACGAGUUGAUGAUUAAACAAACAGUGGUAACAGUAGCACAAAAGUUCACAGCUCUAUAGCUUAGCUCCCUUUAAAUAAUCAGAUAUUUGGAAAUUUAAAAAUAAUCUUUCAUAAGAACUUCAGUAUACAUACAUAAAAUGUAAAACAUAUACUGCAACUCUGACAAGAUAAGAGGAAAACAAAUAUGAGUUACAAAUUCUAAACCUCGUGCAUUGUAGCUCUGGUUCUGAUGAUUCUGAUUCAGAUUCAGGUUCUGAUUUUGAAUCUGAUUCGGAUUUUAGAUCUGAUUUGGUGAUUUUUAAUCUGAUUUGGGUUCUGGUUUGAGUUCUGAUUAGAGUUAUGAUUUGGAUUCUGAUGACCGAUAAACCAUGCCAAAGACUCAAACCUAUGUGCACCCUAAUUUCUCAAGAACUCGGGGAAUUUUAUGCAUUUAAUCAUCCUCAUCUGAUGUGCGGUAAGAACCACCUGACCAGCUACUGGAUGCAAUUCCAAAUCCUGAAGUUCCUUUUCUGACUUUUAUUAAAGGAUGUUUGUUUAUUUGGGUAUUCUUUGUCAUGACCAUAAACUGUGGUGUGGUUAUAGAUGAAUGUUCUUUAAAGCAACACAUUUGUACUAACUUUGUGUUUUCAGUAAAUGUUCUCAACAACUGAUCCAUUUAGCUGCAAAGUGAUAACUGUGGCAACAUAAGCUUCAGGCAAUUGCAUCAAGAUGGUUAUCAUUUCAUCCUUUUUAAUGAACCACCUCAGAUGAUCAUACAUCUUAAAAAAAUAUGAUACUUGUUUGUUAACAACAAGAUACAUGAAUGUGAAACAAUUCUAUACCAUCAUUAGAAAUAAUUUUGUUAAGAAGAUAUUGUAUCUCAGCUGAAGGUACACUAGAGUAGAUAUCAUCUUUAAUAAUAGUAUGGACAGACACAUAAUUACUCUUAAUGCCCUCAGUAAGCUGUUCAGAGAUAAGAUUUCUAAGGUCACAUCCGUAAAUCUCAUCUCACCAAGAGAGCUUACUUUGAUAUUGUUGGCACUGAAAUCAGAUUAGAAAACACCACGCUCCUUAUUUUAUCUUAUCCUCUCAAGCAUUGUCCUAAAAGUUUGCUUACUAAUAUUUGUUGCAAUUUCAUAUGAAGAUACAAUAUCAGUCUCACCAGAUAAAACUAUAAAAACUCCAUCCACAUCUGUCAUCCCAAAUUAACGAACCAUCUCUCCUCCUGAUUUUAUGAAAUUAUUAAGAAAAAUUGAAUCAUUAUAACCUUCUUCAACUAGAGUGCCGUCAGGGAGCAGCAGCAUGUAGCGAGUGUAGGAGAUCUAAGGUAAAACUGGUUGCGGGACUGUUAACAAAAGAAACUGUACGUCAGACAAAUGUAUACCCAAAAAAGUUAUAAGAUACAAAGAUUAUUUUAUAUUGAGGGGAUGGGGACAGGAGCAGCCUGAAUCUCACACAGUCACCCUACGCCACAAAAAACUCAACAAAUGUAUGCACAACAAGACAAAACAGAAACAAUCCCUUCUAAUCUUACCAAUUCACAGAAUCAGUAAAAGUACAUGCACAAGAAUGCUACUGUUGAUUAGUAUAAAUAGCUUCAAUGAUCAAAGGAUGAGCAUUUGUACAAAACUAGUUGAACAUCAUUGAACUUAUUGACCAGGAAUAAACUCAUUCAAUACUAUAGUUAUAUAAACUCCAAAAAUACUCCAAAUCAAAGUUUUGAAUACUACAAUUUGAGAAUACCACAAUUUUAAUACAAAGUUUUUCAAAGAAGCCCGCCAAACACCUUGUGGCUAUGAAUGCCAUAGUUUUUUCUAAUACCAUGGUAUUACCUAAAAACUAUGAAAAACGUGGCUACUAAACAGGGCCUCAUAUACUUACCAUUAAGAGCAGCAGGAGCAGAAUGCGUUACCGCACCAUGAGUCGGAUCCACGUCCAUCGGGGAACUAGGUCCCGGAUCCAUCAGCAGCAGGUUCUGAAUCCGUUGCAGCACCAGCUGUAAAAUAGGAAUACCCAAAAGAAAGGCUCAGAUCCCGAACAAAGGCUCAGAUCCUCUUCAAAAUAGGAAUACCCAAUCCUAUUAUGUUCUAGAUCUCUUACACUCGCUACAUGCUGCUACUCCCUGACGAUACUCUUGUUGAAGAAUGUUGUGAUGUAUCAAUUUUUCUUGCUGAUUUCAUAGAAUCAGGAGGAGUGAUGAUUAAUGAAUUUGGGAUAACAAAUGUGGAUGUAGUUUUAUUGUUUUACUCGGUAAGACUGAUGUUGUAACUUCAUAUAAAAUUGCAACAAAUAUUAGUAAGCAGACUGUCAGGACAAUGCUUGGGGGAUAAGAGGAAAUAAGGAGUGUGAUGUUUGCUUAUCUAAUUUCAGUGUCAAACAAUAUCAAAGUAAGCUAUCUUGGAGAUGUGAGGUUUAGAGAUGUGACAAUUAUUAAAAAUCUUACCCCUGAACAGCUUCCUGAGGGUAUUUGGAGUAAUUAUGUGUCUGCUCAUGCUGUUAUUAAAGAUGAUACCUUUUCUGGUGCACCUCCAGCUGAGAUACAUUAUUUUUUUAACAAAAUUCUUACUGAUGAUGGUAGAGAAUUGUUUCACAUUCAUGCAUUUUUGCUGUUAGCAACCAAGUAUCAUAGUUUUUUAAGGAGAUAUAUGAUCAUCUAAGGUGGUCGAUUAAAAAGAAUGAAAUGAGAACCAUCUUUAUGCAAUUGCUUAUGUUGCCACAGUUACCACUUUGCAGAUGGAUGAAUCAGUUAGGACAAAUGUACUGAUUGAAAGAACACUCUUUUAUAAUCACACCACAACCUAUGAUCAUCCCAAAGAAGACCUAAGUAAACACACAUGCUUCAAUAAAAGUCAGAAAAAACACUUUAGGGUUUGAGAUUUGAUCCAGUAGCUGGUCAGGUGGUUCUUACCGCAGAGCAGAUAAUGAUGAUUAAAUGUCUGAAAUUUCUCGAAUUCUUGAGAAAUUGGGGUGCACAUAGGUUAAAACCUUUGGCAUGGUUUGUCGGUCAUAAGAAUUCAAAUCAAAACUUUAAUUAGAACCCAAACUAGAACCUAAAUUAGAUUCAAAAUCAAUUAAAUCAGAUCUGGAAUACGAACCAGAUUCAAAAUCAGAAUUCGAAUCUGAAUCAGAACUAGAGCUAUAAUGCACGGGGUUCAGAACUUGUAACUCAUGUUCGUUUUCCUUUUAUCUUGUCAGAGUUGCAGUAUGUGCUUUACAGUUUAGGCAGACAUACUGAAAUUAUUAUGAAAUAUUAUUUUUAGGUUUUCAAAUGUCUGAUCGUUUGGAGGGAGCUAAGCUAUAGAGAUGUGAACUUUUGUGCUACUGUUACCACUGUCUGUUUAAUUAUCAGUUCGUCUAUUGUAAUAGUUCAAUUUCUCUAGUUGUUGAAAGAUUAUGUUUCUGAACAUCAUUACUCAUAUGACAUUUUGCUGCUAGGGCCGCAAUUUGAGUAUCGUUGGACAAUGGUCAUGUGACUGAUUAUGGUGGUAUUUGUGAUGUGAUUUAUGUUUCUUAACGUCAUUGUUAUGGUGAUAUUUGUGUGGUGAUUUAUGUUUUUGAACAUCAUUGCUCAUAUGGUAUGUUGCUGCUAGUGCCGCAAUUUGAGCAUCAUUGGACAACGGUCAUGUGAUCAUGUUGGUAUUUGUGGUGUGAUUUAUGUUUUUGUACAAUCUCAUGAAUACUUAGCUUUGUCAGCACGCAGAGAAUGUUUUCUGGAUUAGGGUACAUUUGCUGUGCUGAUAGUUUCUUAGGUUUAGGUGCUCACCUCCCUCAUUUGACAUGAAUAAUGUAUGAGUAUCGUG